UGCAUCCGUAAGAGAUUUGAGAAAAGCUAUCCCUAGUACGAGAGGACCGGGAUGGACGUAGCUCUAGUGUGCCAGUUGUUCCGCCAGGAGCAUGGCUGGUUGGCCACCUACGGAAGGGAUAACCGCUGAAAGCAUCUAAGUGGGAAGCCCGUUUCAAGAUGAGAUCUCCCACCGGGUUAACCGGGUAAGGCCUGUGGUAGACCACCACGUUGAUAGGCCGGAGGUGUACGUGCGGUAACGCAUUUAGCCGACCGGUACUAAUCGGCCGAGGGCUUGGUUAC
rnacentral:rRNA from 1 species